rnacentral:rRNA from 1 species
GAAUGCUGACAUAAGUAACGAUAAAGCGGGUGAAAAGCCCGCUCGCCGGAAGACCAAGGGUUCCUGUCCAACGUUAAUCGGGGCAGGGUGAGUCGACCCCUAAGGCGAGGCCGAAAGGCGUAGUCGAUGGGAAACAGGUUAAUAUUCCUGUACUUGGUGUUACUGCGAAGGGGGGACGGAGAAGGCUAUGUUGGCCGGGCGACGGUUGUCCCGGUUUAAGCGUGUAGGCUGGUUUUCCAGGCAAAUCCGGAAAAUCAAGGCUGAGGCGUGAUGACGAGGCACUACGGUGCUGAAGCAACAAAUGCCCUGCUUCCAGGAAAAGCCUCUAAGCAUCAGGUAACAUCAAAUCGUACCCCAAACCGACACAGGUGGUCAGGUAGAGAAUACCAAGGCGCUUGAGAGAACUCGGGUGAAGGAACUAGGCAAAAUGGUGCCGUAACUUCGGGAGAAGGCACGCUGAUAUGUAGGUGAAGCGACUUGCUCGUGGAGCUGAAAUCAGUCGAAGAUACCAGCUGGCUGCAACUGUUUAUUAAAAACACAGCACUGUGCAAACACGAAAGUGGACGUAUACGGUGUGACGCCUGCCCGGUGCCGGAAGGUUAAUUGAUGGGGUUAGCGGUAACGCGAAGC